AGUCUCAACUGCAUUCCAGAGUGCCGGGGGCUUUCUUUGAUGGCCAGUUUAACUCAUCGAUCGCUUAUCUAAGCUCCUUGUCCAUGCGCUUCUCCUUACUCAGCGUGUUCCAGUGAAGACAAAGCCAGGCCCAGGAAACUGACUUCAAGCCCCAAAGUCCCAGAGGUGGACCACAAUGGAAGUUGUUGUUGUAUAUUAGCCAUCCCGGAGCGGAGGAGAGGCAGGUGGUGAAGUCGCUCUGGUCUGGGCCUUAGUUCUCACUCGGAUCUUCUCUGAACUCUUGUUUCUGCCCUCAGCAAUCCAGCCGUUCUUUAAAUUUGUUCACCGCCUGACUCACGCGUUAUGAAAAGACUCUAAAUGGAAACAGGUUUUUAGGAAGAGUCCCUAGA